GCCGUGCAGCUACGGUUGUUAUUUACUUUGUGGGAUUUAAAAAGUGCACAACCCAGCCGGAUAAUCAUUUUACAGCAGCGGAGCAAGAGAGGAGCACAUGCAGGCUGGGACGCGAGCCGCAGCACAUGCAUACGGAUUGGUUUUAUUCCUCCAGACUCUCUUACUCCGAAUAUUUUUGUUUUAAAUCAGAGUAUAGCCUACUUCUGAAUCUCCAGGUGCAUGCUGCAGGCCCACCUGAGUGAUUGCAUGGCUCCGUUUCCUGCACCGAGCCAUGUGGCUAUUUUACAUGCUGUCAUUUGUCUUCGAGGGGACGGCUGAGAAACGUAAAAUUCUGAAAUUUGCCGCUGCAUGGUCUCCAGCUCUCCUCCAUCCCGUCCCCCUUCUCUCCAUCUCCAUCUCCACUCUACUCCUUCUCUCCCAUUCCCCUCAUCCCGGCUCCCCUCUCCCUAUAACCCCAUACCUACUCCCUCCCCUGUUUUUCCUUCACCCCCCCCCCCCAAAAUAGGUACACUCCUCCACCCACUCUUGGCAGCUCCAUCUCCUCCUC